GGUCACCUCUCUCCUUUCACGUCUCUCUCUCCCUCGCAUCUCUCCGCGCCGUCGUCGACGUGAGGAGCGCCAUCUCCAUCCCGCGUUUUUCCUCCUUCGUCCUCCCCUUCUGCAGCCCAAGCCACGACCUAUCUUGUGUGCCAUUGUUUGCCUCCCCGUCGGGACCAGGCAGAGGAGGAGCAGUGCGAGCCAUGGAGAUGACGAGGUGGUCGAGCUGCCUGUGGCACCGUUGCCGUACCUCACGGCCCAGCUGGAGGUGUGUCGGCCGCAAAGACGGUAGAGGUCUCAUCCGCUCGCUCUCUCGCUGUCAUAGGAGUGCGCGUAGGGGGAGUGGCAGGUCAAGAUCCGGAGACGGCGGGGCAGCGACCAUUCCCGUGAGUCCCGGCGGCGAGCAGAGCUCCUAUUACUGAACGGAGAGGGGUCGAGGGGCGCUCCGGAUCUGGAUCCGGGCGAGGUGGCGGCCAUGGCCGAGCUCGAGCUGCUUGGUGUCCCAGAGGGCGCCUCCUUCAACGAGAUCCUGCGCGCCCCGUCGUCGCCUCUUGCAAGGAUGACCCAGAUGCCGUCGCCCAGGUCCCUCCUCCCUCCUCCCUCCUCCCAAACUUCUCCUCCACUCCAUAUUGUCCCCUUUCCACGUUUGCUUAUUGUUCAACUGAAUAAUUCGUUAGAAGGAUCCUUUGAUUGUCCCCAGAAGUUGCUAAUUUAGGAGAACAAGUCGCCUCCAUCAAAUUGGAAAUGCAUGAAUGGCGACGUAUGUAUGAUGCAUCUUACUUUCUCAUGCCCAAACGCAAAAUUAAUCUACUUCCAUACACGGCGAGGAAAAGCAAAGACCUGAUCAUCAGUAAUUUGGGCAAUUUGGUGCACAGUUGUUCGCAUGUGAUGUAUCAGGUCUGUUAAAAUAGUCUACUUUUGGCAUUAAGUGUGUUAGCUUAUAGUGGUAGCAUGAUUUGAGGAGGAGGAGCGAGGUCGAAAGAUGGCAGCCAGUCCGACCACGUCCUCUCUUCAUUCCUUUCUCCCUUUCGAUCUUGGAUUUGAUCUAGAUGCCGCCGUCGCCGUGGUUGCCUCGCCGUCGUGGCUCAGGAGACGAUGCGUCGUCUCGCGGCUGGACCGGAAAGGGAAGUGACCAGAGACACAUCUUCUCCUCUCCUUGGCAGCAAUGCAGGCAGGCGAUGAGGAGGCUUGCAAUGAACAUAGAAGACAAAACAGAGAAGAGAGACUACAUGUUCUUGCAAGAUGCAGUCGUGCUGCUGACAGAAACAAUUUUAUCUCAAGAUCAAUCUGGGAGGAAUUAUCAGGCACACGACCAGCGAGCGGUGGCAGAAGCAACUUCUCCAUUAGACUACAUGACAGUGUUGGUUCUCAGAAAGUGAAGCUCACCUGCAUGCACUUCCGCUAGUUCUAUGAAGCAAAAUGCAAAGAAGGAAAACCAAUGAAUUUUUGGAAGGUACAGAGUAUGAAUGUUCCAGUCUAUGAUGGAGAAAUUUUUCUGUGCAACCAUCUGACCAAGGAGUGCUUCCACAGAAACUUUUUGACCUUUCAUCUAAGUGUACUGAUUUUACACAUAAAGUUAAAUCUGGCAUGACACUAUUCUUGUAUGAUGUUGAGCACCGUAAGCUUCAUGGGGUGUUUGAACCAACUUCAGAUGGAGCAAUGAAUAUCAUUCCUGAUGCAUAUGCCUUGUCAGGGUUUCAGUAUCCUUGUCUGGUUGUAAAGCAGCAUGUUUAAUUAUUACUUGGCAUAGGGGAAGGGAAGUGGUUUCUCUCUGUCGAGGAGGACAAACAGAGAUAGAGGAGGCAGAUAUGAUAUGCUUGGCAUUAUGCUGUGACGAUAGUGGGCCAUGGAUCUGGAUGUGGAGUGAAUGUCGAGGUUUCCUCCAUGCUUCCAUACAAUGUCGAAGGACAGCGGAUGUUGUAGUCUGUUCAUCCUGGAUAGUACUGAGGAUGAAUACAAACUUAUAUGUAAUUAGCUGGUGCUUGCUUUACUUAAGACGGCCACUGUUGCACUUCUGAUUUCUUGCUUGGUCUUGUACAUGUCUACCGUGUUGUUGUUAAAGUUUCUGAUGUACACUUGUUCCAGCCACAAACAUGGAAGCAAGUUGUUCCUAUAAAUCCAUGAUACCCACAAACAUUUUUAGAUCGUUAUCUACAGAA